rnacentral:lncRNA from 1 species
AACAGACUUAGAAUUUAAGUCUGUCGGUCAACAGACUUAGAAUUUAAGUCUGUUCGUUAACAACAGACUUAAAAUUUACGUCUGCCGAAUCUAAGUCUGUUAUAAAACAGACUUAAAAAGCUUGAAAUAACAGACUUAAAAAGCCCGUUUUGUACUAGUGAGUGUGAAUUGUUACGGUGGCUUUCAAAUGUUAAUGGAGGAUGCAGAUGGUUCAAAAGAUGAGAAUGCAAAUGUUGUUGAAUGGAGAAUGCCGAUGUUGAAUGUUGUUGAAGGAUUUUCUUAAUGUUGUAUAACAGAUGGAUGAAGCCAAAGAAUGGUUGAUUGCGGAGGUAAAUGAGAAGAAGAUGUUCUUAAAGUCCACAUCUUAAAAGUUAUUGUGUGCCACCUAUUUAAAAAAUACACGUCGUUUUGCCAACAAAGACGAAUUUUAACGCCGUUAAGGGAAAUUAACGGAAUGGACUUGAUUGGUCUAAUUUUUCAAAUUUAAGGACUAAAUUAAUCAUUUUUAAAAAAUAGGGACCUACUUGAAGAAAACCAAUCUAUUUAACCAAUAACUUAAGAUAAAAGAUAAGUACAAGUUAUUAAGAUAUCUGAUAAUAUGAACUAUCUGGAUGUUUACAAAAUAAAUAUUUAAUGAGAAUGAGGAAUGAAAAAUGAAAAUAAUAAAGGAAAGAAUGGUGAUAAAAUAUAGAGAGAUUAACCAGAGCAAUAACAUGAGAUCCAACGAAGACAGGAGUUAUAGAUCAUAUCCAUACUUUUCUUCCAAGCGAUCGAGAUCGAAAAUGACGAAAUCCUGUAUAUACUCAUGCAACUCAAUCUUAUAGAGAAGUUCUCUGGCGGAUGAUUCAAUAACUUCUCGGCCAGGCCGUUUAAAAGGGACAAGUGAAUCUAGUGCAUAGUACAAAAGUAUUCGAACUAUAUCCACAGGUCCAGCCUCAUUUUCAAAAUCCACAUGACCUCCAGGAUAGAGAAAUUGUCGCUCGUAAUAUUCCCAGACCUGGAUUGAAGCAAACUUACCUUGUCAGUAAAAGAUGCCACAUAUAUAUAAUAAAAGAAAAUGUUCUAAUACACUUACUUCACGGUCAUUUAAUUGCAGGUAUGCUCUCAGCCUCUUAGCUGAAUUAAGAACUUUAGCAGGAAGAAGAUAAUCGGCAGGAAGACAAUCAGAGAACCACCUUUCUUUAACAACUGCUUUCUGUAACGUGUGAGAAUAACGUUGAGAGUGAAGGGGCAAAAUGGGUAGAAGAAAUAAGGGGAAAUGAUGAGUUAGUUGGAGACUCAGGACACCUGGCACCUGCUGCAGGAAAUAAUGGCAGACAACAGCACGUGAGGGAGAGAAAAGUGAGCACACGGUUGAAGGAUUUUCAGUGGGGAAAUAAGGGAUACAAAAGGGGAAUGUAGUGGGCUCUAGAAGGGGGGCAA